rnacentral:piRNA from 1 species
UGGGGCCUUCCUUAGACUUCAGAUAUCGUA